rnacentral:rRNA from 1 species
AGAGUUUGAUCCUGGCUCAGGAUGAACGCUAGCGGCAGGCUUAAUACAUGCAAGUCGAGGGGCAGCACAGGUAGCAAUACUGGGUGGCGACCGGCAAACGGGUGCGGAACACGUACGCAACUUACCCCUAACUAGGGAAUAGCCCAUAGAAAUGUGGAUUAACACCUUAUAGUACAAUUGAUUCGCAUGGAUUGAUUGUU